rnacentral:ncRNA from 1 species
AGACGACUUAAAUACGCGACGGGGUAUUGUAAGGGGUAGAGUGGCCUUGCUGCCACGAUCCUCUGAGAUUCAGCCCUUUGUCGCUCCGAUUCGU